UACAGAGGGUGCAAGCGUUAAUCGGAAUUACUGGGCGUAAAGCGCGCGCAGGUGGUUUGUUAAGUUGGAUGUGAAAUCCCCGGGCUCAACCUGGGAACUGCAUUCAAAACUGACAAGCUAGAGUAUGGUAGAGGGUGGUGGAAUUUCCUGUGUAGCGGUGAAAUGCGUAGAUAUAGGAAGGAACACCAGUGGCGAAGGCGACCACCUGGACUGAUACUGACACUGAGGUGCGAAAGCGUGGGGAGCAAACAGG
rnacentral:rRNA from 1 species